rnacentral:lncRNA from 1 species
AAGGAAGGAGAAGCCCUGAGGAUAGAGGAGUUUUCUGAGGAAAAGGCUGAGAGUGACAGUUUGACUGUGGGAAGUCGGUCUGAGUUUGAGUUGGAGAGAUCAGCGGGAGUGAGCGUGUUUCACCACAGCGCUAGUGGUGGACUCAGCUCCAGGAAGAGGAGGAACCCUUCCUGCAGGGAUCUCCCCUUGAGCAAAGUGAUCAUAACUCAGAGGAGUCCUGUGCUGCCUCGUGCGCCGCUGAGGGACCUUUUAUUUUCCCCCACACCCGUUCACGGCCCCCACUGCUCCCCGCCAUGCCCACAUUGCCAGAGGAAGAGGAGGACUCCCCUGAGGAGCUGGACAGUUCUUCCAGCUCUCCCAGUACAUCUACACCAGGCGAAAGUGGAGCUGUCGUCAUGACUGCCCCCACCAUCGUCUUCCCACAGCAGGCUACUAUUGUACAACAAGAUGGACGUCCUCUGGAGCAAACCAGGUAACUGCCCACCAUCUAAAACACUGAAAUAGUUUUCUUUUUUUUGGGCUGUAAACAGGGACAACAUGUCUGAAUCAUUACUGUUUCCUCUCUCUCAGGCCACACAGUCCCAGAGCUCGCCUGGCCAGAAACUCCUCUGGAGGACCCAUCACCACAGUUGGUGGGUAAACCCUGUACACACACACACACACACACACACACACACUGCAGCUGUAAUUGUCUAAAGAUAACCACAGCACUGUGAGAGCUAUUUUGAUGUUAUCAUUCGCAACAUUUACUUUAGUCCAGCGCCAAA